CUUCCGGAUAUAUUCAAAAAGUUCAAGAACAGCAGAAUUCAAAAGGUUAUAACGAUCUCCAUUUGCAACAAAUGCAUCUACAACAGGUUUGAAAAGGUUGUUCUUCACUAUAUGAUUCAUCAUAUCUUCAUCCUGAAAAAAUAAAACCAUCCAAAGCUGACGUCUAAGUCAAAGGCAAAGCAGAAGAAAACUCAUCUGUCCUAGGAUAGGUGGAUUCUGGACAUGUGGAUUUGUACAAAGUUAUUCAUGAUUUAUUCAAAGCAAAUGGCACAAGCACAUUCAACCCACUGUUGUUGCAAGUCGAAAUACUUCACAAAACAGAUUCAGCUUCUUUGCCCAAUGCUUACUUUUUCUAUCAGUAGAUCAGAUACAGAUGCAGAAGGAUAUUUAAGCAAACUAAGUUAUAACGAUCUCCAUUUGCAACAAAUGCAUCUACAACAGGUUUGAAAAGGUUGUUCUUCACUAUAUGAUUCAUCAUAUCUUCAUCCUGAAAAAAUAAAACCAUCCAAAGCUGACGUCUAAGUCAAAGGCAAAGCAGAAGAAAACUCAUCUGUCCUAGGAUAGGUGGAUUCUGGACAUGUGGAUUUGUACAAAGUUAUUCAUGAUUUAUUCAAAGCAAAUGGCACAAGCACAUUUAACCCACUGUUGUUGCAAGUCGAAAUACUUCACAAAACAGAUUCAGCUUCUUUGCCCAAUGCUUACUUUUUCUAUCAGUAGAUCAGAUACAGAUGCAGAAGGAUAUUUAUGCAAACUAAAGAAUCCUUGUGCCAAACAUUCGAUAAAGUGUGUAAUUUGCACGACCAAUAUGCAUCCUCAAGGAUAAUAAAUCACAUAAUCUAAAUGCAGUAUAUAGGGCAAGGGGAAAGAGUACUGUAGAGAUAGGAAUAGGUACAUAGUUUUAUCUAAGAACAUUUGAAACGUAAGGUCAAUUUUUUACCCUUUUACUUUUGUAUCUACGGUCAAUUUAUGACUAAGCCUCCGUUUGGGAAGAAUUUAUAUACGGUUUAAUUUAUAGAUAGAUAAAAAUGAGUGGUGAAUAAGUACAUAGUCCUUCUGUGGGUCCAUUGGAAUGUGUGUUUGAAAAUGAAGUUCGACUAUUUAUAAA
rnacentral:lncRNA from 1 species